GACGAACGCUGGCGGCGUGCUUAACACAUGCAAGUCGAACGGAAAGGCCCUGCUUUUGUGGGGUGCUCGAGUGGCGAACGGGUGAGUAACACGUGAGUAACCUGCCCUUGACUUUGGGAUAACUUCAGGAAACUGGGGCUAAUACCGGAUAGGAGCUCCUGCUCAAUGGUGGGGGUUGGAAAGUUUCGGCGGUUGGGGAUGGACUCGCGGCUUAUCAGCUUGUUGGUGGGGUAGUGGCAUACCAAGGCUUUGACGGGUAGCCGGCCUGAGAGGGUGACCGGCCACAUUGGGACUGAGAUACGGCCCAGACUCCUACGGGAGGCAGCAGUGGGGAAUAUUGCACAGUGGGCGGAAGCCUGAUGCAGCAACGCCGCGUGCGGGAUGACGGCCUUCUGGUUGUAAACCGCUUUCGCCUGUGACGAAGCGUGAGUGACGGUAAUGGGUAAAGAAGCACCGGCUAACUACGUG
rnacentral:rRNA from 1 species